rnacentral:lncRNA from 1 species
ACUCAUGUUCAUGCUGUAUCAUUUAUCAUUGACCUAAUUACAAUUAUCUCUCCACGAUGUUUACUUAAAUUACACAUACAUUCUUCUUCUUUUUCAGACAUUUCCGCGGCACCCCUCUCUUACUAACACAGCUAGGGUUAGUGAGGAGUGUUUUCUGGUUCACCGCCAUGCGCGUCCUCCGCUUCUAUAGCCGCCGUGCGCAGGGGCGGUGGAGAACUGUGCGAUGUCAACAGUGAAGGUUUGGGAGGGUUUCGUAUUUGAGAUAAGAGAGGGAGUGGGUUUGGGAGGUUUCAUGGAAGCUGUUGAAUAUGACUUAGUUUCCUUAAUGUUGGGUUUUGCUAUGCCUCUUCAAUUCCUCGUGUUUCGAUAUUAAAAUCAAAAUAUGCUGUUGAAAUUACGCUGGUUGGUUCUAUAUGUUUUUGUUGCUUGCUAAUUUAUUCCUCCUUUGAAUCAUUGUGUAAUUGAGAUGCUGAAAUGAAUCGGUUUAAUGUGAGUAAGGAAUUGGUGAAUUUGAAAAGAAAAAAAAAUGGGAAUGGGAUCUAUUAUUUCGAUGUUGGUGAGGAACUUGUGAAUUUAAAAAAUUUAUUUAGAGUCACUAGGAAGAUGAAUUGUAUUGGUUCUGAAUUUGAUUUUGGAUUUAAUGCUAUUAGAGUAUUAGUGUUUAUUUGGAUUGUUUGGAAUUUGAAAUUGGAAAAAUUGAUUUGAACUUGUUCUUGUUCUUGCUGUAUUUUUUUUUUCAGAUGCUUAUAAUGGGUGCCCACAAAGAAGAC